GGAGAGACAAUCCGCAGCCCCUGGGUCUGAGCUGUUCCCAGAGACUCUCCCAUAGAACUUGCCCCUGUCAGACCAGGGAAAAUGAAUCUUUGGGUCCACUUAGUUUUCACUUUAGCAGCCUGGGAAGGUGUCCGGUCCCAGAUCCAGCUGGUGGAGUCCGGAGGGGAUGUGAAAAAGCCCGGAGACUCUCUCCGCCUCUCCUGCAAAGCCUCCGGGUUCACCUUCAGCAACCACUGGAUUACAUGGUUCCGUCAGGCUCCUGGGAAGGGGUUGCAGUGGGUCUCUGAGAUUAGCAAGGAUGGUAGCAGCACAAACUAUGCAGACUCCGUUAAAGGGCGAUUCACCAUCUCCAGGGACAAUUCCAACAGCCUGGCGUACCUACAAAUGACCGGCCUGAGAGCCGAGGACACCGCCCGGUAUUACUGUGCGAGAGACACAGUGACACGAAACCUAUUUGUGCUAACCUUGCCUGGGGAGCCCGCCCCAGCUCACCUCGGCUUCGCCUCCUCUGCUGAGGACGCCUGGAUGCACUGGCUCCGGCAGGCUCCCGGGCAGGGGCUGGAGUGGGUAUCAGCAAUUAAGGGAGCAGAUGCGCAGUACGGAGAUUCCGUGAAAGGGCGAUUCACCACCUCCACAGACAGCUCCAAGAAGCUGAUUUACCUGCAGAUGAACAGCCUGAAGCCCGAGGACACCGGCCGGUAUCACUGUGUCAGAGAAACACACAGUGCGGGGAAGCCGGUCUGA